AGCCUCUCUCCAGAAUGGGUUAGGAGGUGGGAAUGCAAAGGCUCUCAGGACACCAGGAUCUGUCCUUGGAAACACAGGGGCCAGGCCCACCCCGGAAAUGGCUUCAUUCAUUCAGCACUAGACUCUGAAAGGAAGGAGGCGGAGCCAGUUCCUACCCCGAGGAGCCUACUCUGGAGCAGGGGCAGAUCCUCCCUGGGAGAUGAAUGGAAUAUCCCUACUUGGCAGACAAAGAAACGAAGACCACAGAGGCUGGGCACCUCAUCCAGGUCACUGAGGAAGAACCAGCAGAACACGGAUUUGACCCCAGGUCUGUGCUGCCUGCAUGGAGCUAGCCUGAGAGUUCCCCGUGGGCAGCCGACCCCGCGAUUUCCUUCCCUCUCACUGCUCCAGUCAUCCAACGCUGCUGCCGGCUGGCACAACAUACCGGGGCCUAGAAUCAGUCUCCUCACACCCUGAUGCCCACCCCGGAAUAAAAGAGGAGGGCUACCUAUCUGGCAACAGGCUAGCCACACCUCACCCUGUCUGCCCUUCCCAUCCUCUGCCUGGACCCUGCAGCGGUGUCACAUAUUGACCCUCCCCCAACCCCUGCAUCGCAGGCCCUCAGGACAGAGACCAGUAGCGGCAGAGGAAAAAAAUAAAUGCAUGGCGGGGGACUUGUCUUGGUUCUCUGCUCUAAGUAGCAGGUCUGAUUGUGUUGCAGGAAGGAAGAAGGGGGUCCCAGACCAGAUUGCUAGUCCCACACUAACACUGUUUGGGAUGCCUGGGCUAAA